rnacentral:rRNA from 1 species
GACGAACGCUGGCGGCGUGCUUAACACAUGCAAGUCGAACGGAAAGGCCCUGCUUUUGUGGGGUGCUCGAUUGGCGAACGGGUGAGUAACACGUGAGUAACCUGCCCUUGUCUUUGGGAUAACUUCAGGAAACUGGGGCUCAUACCGGAUAGGAGCUCCUGCUGCAUGGUGGGGGUUGGAAAGUUUCGGCUGUUGGGGCUGGACUCGCGGCUUAUCCGCUUGUUGGUGGGGUAGUGGCUUACCAAGGCUUUGACGGGUAGCCGGCCUGAGAGGGGGACCGGCCACAUUGGGACUGAGAUACGGCGCAGACUCCUACGGGAGGCAGCAGUGGGGAAUAUUGCACAAUGGGCGGAAGCCUGAUGCAGAAACGCCGCGUGCGGGAUGACCGCCUUCGGGUUGUAAACCGCUUUCGCCUGUGACGAAGCGUGAGUGACGGUAAUGGGUAAAGAAGCACCGGCUAACUACGUG